UCCCUGGUGACCCAGUGGUGAAGACACUGCGCUUCCACUGCAGGGGCCCAGGUUUGAUUCCUGGUUAGGGAG
rnacentral:tRNA from 1 species